rnacentral:rRNA from 1 species
GAUGAACGCUAGCGAUAGGCCUAACACAUGCAAGUCGAGGGGCAUCACAUGAAGUAGCAAUACGGAUGGUGGCGACCGGCGCACGGGUGAGUAACACGUAUGCAACCUGCCUUCAACAAGGGGAUAACCCGUUGAAAGACGGACUAAUACCGCAUAAUACUGGAGAUCUGCAUGGAUAUUCAGUUAAACAUUUAUGGCUUACAGAUGGGCAUGCGUUCCAUUAGCUAGUUGGCGGGGUAACGGCCCACCAAGGCAACGAUGGAUAGGGGAACUGAGAGGUUUAUCCCCCACACUGGUACUGAGACACGGACCAGACUCCUACGGGAGGCAGCAGUGAGGAAUAUUGGUCAAUGGACGCAAGUCUGAACCAGCCACGUCGCGUGAAGGAAGACGGCCCUACGGGUUGUAAACUUCUUUUAUACGGGAAUAAAGUGCCCCACGUGUGGGGUUUUGUCAAGUACCGUAUGAAUAA